UAGGUAAAUAGUUUAAGCUGAGAAUUUACGCCUUGGGAGUGUAAGGUCUACCCUUUUAAGGUAGUUUAUCUG
rnacentral:tRNA from 1 species